GACGGGACCCGCACAAGCGGUGGAUGAUGUGGUUUAAUUCGAUGCAACGCGAAAACCUUACCCACCUUUGACAUGUACGGAACCCUUUAGAGAUAGAGGGGUGCUCGAAAGAGAGCCGUAGCACAGGUGCUGCAUGGCUGUCGUCAGCUCGUGUCGUGAGAUGUUGGGUUAAGUCCCGCAACGAGCGCAACCCUUGUCAUUAGUUGCUACAUUCAGUUGGGCACUCUAAUGAGACUGCCGGUGACGAGCCGGAGGAAGGUGGGGAUGACGUCAAGUCCUCAUGGCCCUUAUAGGUGGGGCUACACACGUCAUACAAUGGCUGGUACAAAGGGUUGCCAACCCGCGAGGGGGAGCCAAUCCCAUAAAGCCAGUCGUAGUCCGGAUCGUAGUCUGCAACUCGACUACGUGAAGUCGGAAUCGCUAGUAAUCGUGGAUCAGAAUGUCACGGUGAAUACGUUCCCGGGUCUU
rnacentral:rRNA from 1 species